GCCCGGUUAGCUCAAUCGGUAGAGCGUGAGACUCUUAAUCUCAAGGUUGCGGGUAAGCUUGCACUCGGAG